rnacentral:rRNA from 1 species
GACGAACGCUGGCGGCGUGCCUAAUACAUGCAAGUAGAACGCUGAAGAGAGGAGCUUGCUCUUCUUGGAUGAGUUGCGAACGGGUGAGUAACGCGUAGGUAACCUGCCUUGUAGCGGGGGAUAACUAUUGGAAACGAUAGCUAAUACCGCAUAACAAUGGAUGACACAUGUCAUUUAUUUGAAAGGGGCAAUUGCUCCACUACAAGAUGGACCUGCGUUGUAUUAGCUAGUAGGUGAGGUAACGGCUCACCUAGGCGACGAUACAUAGCCGACCUGAGAGGGUGAUCGGCCACACUGGGACUGAGACACGGCCCAGACUCCUACGGGAGGCAGCAGUAGGGAAUCUUCGGCAAUGGGGGCAACCCUGACCGAGCAACGCCGCGUGAGUGAAGAAGGUUUUCGGAUCGUAAAGCUCUGUUGUAAGUCAAGAACGAGUGUGAGAGUGGAAAGUUUACACUGUGACGGUAGCUUACCAGAAAGGGACGGCUAACUACGU